GAACGCUGGCGGCGUGCCUAACACAUGCAAGUCGAGCGGAGAUAUGCGCUGACAAAGGUGCUUGCACCGGAGUCUUGUGUAUCUUAGCGGCGGACGGGUGAGUAACAGGUGGAUAAUCCGCCCUUUGCUGUGGAAUAACAUUCAGAAAUGGGUGCUAAUACCGCAUAAGCACACACUAUCGCAUGGUAGAGUGUGAAAAGAUUUAUCGGCAAAGGAGGAGUCCGCCCUAGAUUAGAUAGUUGGUGGGGUAAUGGCCUACCAAGUCUACGAUCUAUAGCCGAACUGAGAGGUUGAUCGGCCACACUGGGACUGAGACACGGCCCAGACUCCUACGGGAGGCAGCAGUGAGGGAUAUUGCACAAUGGGCGAAAGCCUGAUGCAGCAACGCCGCGUGAAGGAAGAAGGUUCUCGGAUUGUAAACUUCUAUCGAUGGGGACGAAAAAAAUGACGGUACCCAAGUAAGAAGCCCCGGCUAACUACGUGCCAGCAGCCGCGGUAAAACGUAGGGGGCAAGCGUUAUCCGGAAUUACUGGGUGUAAAGGGUGAGUAGCCGGUUUGGCAAGUCAUAUGUGAAAUUCCUCGGCUCAACCGAGGGACUGCAUAAGAAACUGCUGAACUAGAGUACAGGAGAGGUUAGCGGAAUUCCUUGUGUAGCGGUGAAAUGCGUAGAUAUAAGGAAGAACACCAGUGGCGAAGGCGGCUAACUGGACUGAAACUGACGGUGAGUCACGAAAGCGUGGGGAGCGAACAGGAUUAGAUACCCUGGUAGUCCACGCUGUAAACGAUGUUCGCUAGGUGUCGGGGCGAGAGUCUCGGUGCCGGCGCUAACGCAAUAAGCGAACCACCUGGGGAGUACGGUCGCAAGACUGAAACUCAAAGGAAUUGACGGGGGCCCGCACAAGCGGUGGAGCAUGUGGAUUAAUUCGAUGCAACGCGAAGAACCUUACCAAGGCUUGACAUGGAGACGACCGGUGCAGAAAUGUACCUUUCCUUCGGGACGUCUCACACAGGUGGUGCAUGGUUGUCGUCAGCUCGUGUCGUGAGAUGUUGGGUUAAGUCCCGCAACGAGCGCAACCCUUAUCUUUAGUUUCCAGCACGUAAUGGUGGGCACACUAGAGAGACUGCCGUGGAUAACACGGAGGAAGGUGGGGAUGAUGUCAAAUCAUCAUGCCCCUUACGCCUUGGGCUUCACACGUGCUACAAUGGUCUCUACAAAGUGAUGCAAAACAGUGAUGUGGAGCGGACCACAAAAAGAGACCCCAGUUCGGAUUGUAGGCUGCAACUCGCCUGCAUGAAGUUGGAAUCGCUAGUAAUCGCGAAUCAGAAUGUCGCGGUGAAUACGUUCCCGGGCCUUGUACACACCGCCCGUCACACCACGGGAGUUGGAAACGCCCGAAGCCAGUGACCCAACCGUAAGGAGGGAGCUGUCGAAGGUGGAGUC
rnacentral:rRNA from 1 species